GAGUUUGAUCUUGGCUCAGGACGAACGCUGGCGGCGUGCCUAACACAUGCAAGUCGAACGAAGCUUGAGAAAUGAUUCUUCGGAUGAAUUUUGAUAUGACUGAGUGGCGGACGGGUGAGUAACGCGUGAGCAACCUGCCCUUCAGAGGGGGAUAGUGUCUGGAAACGGACAGUAAUACCGCAUAAUGUAUAUUUAUGGCAUCGUAGAUAUACCAAAGCUAUUGCGCUGAAGGAUGGGGCUCGCGUCUGAUUAGAUAGUUGGUGGGGUAACGGCCUACCAAGUCGACGAUCAGUAGCCGGACUGAGAGGUUGAACGGCCACAUUGGGACUGAGACACGGGCCCAGACUCCUACGGGAGGCAGCAGUGGGGAAUAUUGCACAAUGGGGAAACCCUGAUGCAGCAACGCCGCGUGAAGGAAGACGGUUUU
rnacentral:rRNA from 1 species